UGGGGAAUAUUGCACAAUGGGCGCAAGCCUGAUGCAGCAACGCCGCGUGAGGGAUGACGGCCUUCGGGUUGUAAACCUCUUUUAGUAGGGAAGAAGCGAAAGUGACGGUACCUGCAGAAAAAAGCACCGGCUAACUACGUGCCAGCAGCCGCGGUAAUACGUAGGGUGCGAGCGUUGUCCGGAAUUAUUGGGCGUAAAGAGCUCGUAGGCGGUCUGUCGCGUCUGCUGUGAAAAACCCGAGGCUCAACCUCGGGCCUGCAGUGGGUACGGGCAGACUAGAGUGCGGUAGGGGAGAAUGGAAUUCCUGGUGUAGCGGUGGAAUGCGCAGAUAUCAGGAGGAACACCGAUGGCGAAGGCAGUUCUCUGGGCCGUAACUGACGCUGAGGAGCGAAAAGCGUGGGGAGCGAACAGGAUUAGAUACCCUGGUAGUCCACGCCGUAAACGUUGGGCGCUAGAUGUGGGGACCAUUCCACGGUUUCCGUGUCGCAGCUAACGCAUUAAGCGCCCCGCCUGGGGAGUACGGCCGCAAGGCU
rnacentral:rRNA from 1 species